GGGAAGAGGGGUCGCGCUUCCUCAGAAGGCUAGAGGUCCCUCCCUCAGCCGUCAAGGCUCCCCCCCCACCCCCCCGUGGCCCUUAAUCCCCUGGUGCGGGGGCUUGUUUCUAAGGCGCUGAGCCCUUCACCUUUCCGGAGCCCGGCAUGGUGCUGGCAACGCCUCUCUCAUCGCCUCGUUUUAAAAAUAAUGCGUUAAAAAAUUCAGUUUGCUAUGCGAACAGCAUUCCAACAGUACACAAUUAUAUCCGAAAUAGUUAAGCAAUAAAAGAAAAAAAAAUGACGGGCGUUGUUGAGGCAGGAGGAUUACUGCGAAUUCUACUCCACCUUGGGCUACAUACCGAGAUUGUGUCAAAAACCACGGAGUGGGGGAAAUUAAGUGAAGUAAUCGUCUACGUUGGGAACCAAAGAUUCCAAGAAAAUGCCCCAAUGUGUGCUGCUUCUAGGAUCCUAGAGAUCCAAAGACUCCUGCAUCCUUCCACAAACCUUUUACAUCACCUGAGAUCUACAUAACUGUGUUUAUGACAGCAACAGCUCCACUUCUAAGUACCAACUUGUCAGAACAUGAAAGAAUGGAGUCGUAUGAAGAUAUUAGUGCUUGUGAGGAAACGCCAAGAAAACGCGAGCCUUGUGAUCUCAGUUCCUUCAAACAUGGCGCCAUUCUUAGAAUGUGCGUUCAUGCUUCUCCCAGAUGUAGCCCGUAGAGUGGGUUCGCUUCAGAUUACUCAUUAAACUGCCUAUUGUUAUUUGCUUAUAUGCCUUUAUGGAAAACAUGUUUUUGCCAUGUGCAAUUUGUCCUUGUGAUUGCACACUUUACCAUGUGAUUCCUCUGAACACUCAGAGUAUACAUUGAAUGGUUCUCUGAAUAAAGCUGGCUAUUGGAUGAGACUUUAGUGUGCCUCAUUUAUCAGCUGCACUCUCUCAGGUCCCAUCACCUCCGGGGCAGUAAGUGACACCAGCUUUCUGUCUAGUUACUUGCUUUAUUGCCAUGAAAAGAGAGCCAAAGCAACAGAAGGAGUAAAGGAUUUCCUGUGCUUUCUGUUUUACUGAAAGUUCACCAUGGGGGUGAAGCCAUGGCAGCAGAGCAGGAGUGCACUGCAUCUGUGUGCAAGGAGCAGAGAGAGAUGAAGGCUCACCAUGGAGGUGAAGGCAGUGGGGCAGGAGGAGCACUGCAUCUGUGUGCAGGGAGCAGAGAGAGAUGAAGGCUCACCAUGGAGGUGAAGGCAGUGGGGCAGGAGGAGCACUGCAUCUGUGUGCAGGGAGCAGAGAGAGAUGAAGGCUCACCAUGGAGGUGAAGGCAGUGGGGCAGGAGGCGCACUGCAUCUGUGUGCAGGGAGCAGAGAGAGAUGAAGGAAUGCUGAUGUUUAGCUUUCUUCUUUUUAUUUAUUGUAGAAACCCUGCUUUUGCCCACAUUUAGAUGGGCUUUUCCCACCUCAGUAACUCAGCAUAGACACUUCCUAACAUAAUGUCCAUGGCCUUCCCUUCUAGGUGUUUUAGAUUUUGUCAAGUUGGUGACGUUAAUCAUCAAGAAUUGUAUUAAAAUUCCAGAUCAUGGAAAAUGGAUGUUAUGUAAAUUAAUUUUAUUUUUGCAAUACUAAUGAUUGAUCCCAGAGUCUUGCAUGUGCUACCAAGUGCUGAACCACUGAGCUACACUCCCAAAGAAGAAACAGAUUCUUUAUAAAGGUAAUAUAGACAUCGGUUGUACCAAGUGCUUCAUUUGUGUUCGGUUGUUUAUAUGAGACACUGUGUCAUGUAGUCCAAGUGCCCAGGCCAUUGAACUUUUGACCCUCCUGCCUCAGACCUGCUAGUAUUAGAGGCUUAAGCCACCACACAAACUGAGCAGUGGUCUCUCUUAUGUUAAUUCAUUUAAUUCACAGAGCCUCACUGCUAUUGCUAACUUGACCGGACCCUCCCCACCUCUGUCAUGGGUAGCUGAAACAGAGGUUAUAGAAAACUGAUUCAAACUAAUUCAGUCUGAUUUUUCCCUCCCAGAAUUUAUAGGUAGGUUUAGUUAGUCUCAACCUAGAAAGGUAUGACACAGACAAACAGACCUUUGAGCUACACACAGUCGGAUGUGGGAAUCUUUGAAGAGUGCACAGACUUACCCACGUCUCCAAAUAAACUGCUAAUUUAAGCCCACCCAAACCACCUCUGGCAUAAAACACUGGUUUUGCAAGUUUUCAAGUAGCAGUUUCUCCCUAUGUAUCCUAUAAAUUUCUUAUUUAAUUCAUUUGUUUCUUUUUUCCCUCUUUACAAUUGUAACUGCUUAUUCAUAGCCCCCUUUACGUCAAUCUGUAGAAAUUCUUUCAUCAGCUGAGACGGCAAACGUCAGUGGCGUAUAAAUGUGAUAUCAGCCUUUGAAGUGCAUUCCAGAACAAUGUUUCCUAUUGGAUCUUUCAGUUCUAUAACUCAGUUUUGGUGGUGAUUCAUAUGAGGAUGACAGUGAUUCAUCUGAUUUCAGUGAGCCACAGGAUCUCAAAGAAGAACCUCACGUCCUACAGCCCAAUUUAAAAAGAAGUUCUCACAUCUGAGUAAGAGCAGUUACAUUCCAAUACAUUAAACAGAGCCAGGCAGAGUGACUCAUGCCUGGAGCCCCAGCAUCCCAGAGGCAGGAAGGUUAAGAGUUCAAGGCCAGCCUGCACUACAAAGACUACGGGCUCUGUCUCAAAAACAAACAAACAAACAAACAAACAAAAACAGGCAGCAGUAACAACAACCACCACCACCACUAAAGCACACUUUGGAAUGAAGAAAGCCAUUUUCAAGAGGACUACUUUUUACUUAUAAGAUGGUAAUCAGUAGAGGACACAACUGAAUAAGGGUCUGCAAUAGAAGAGUCAACGUUGAAAGGAAAUUGAUAUUUCAUUAUUAAUGCGAGCACAUGAUUCUUUCCCAAAGCCUGUCUUACCAGACAGAUUUAAAAACACAAUUGCUGGGGUUUUAGACAUCAUAUAAAGCAUCACAUAAUCUAGUGCCACCUACUACAGAACCUCACAGGAGAUGGACCACCAUGUUCAAUAAAAAAAUGUCAAGC
ensembl:processed_transcript Gm12059 predicted gene 12059